rnacentral:lncRNA from 1 species
AUACUGCUCUAAUCUUCCCUUUCCAUCUUAUUGUGGGUCUCUAUAGCCAAAAAGUUUCCUGUUUCAUAAAUCCAACUGUUCAUGUGAUUUCUCCUCCUACUUAACCCUUAGUCCACCAUUUAAACACAUAUAAAAGUUUAGGCCAGGCACAGUGGCUUAUGCUUGUAAUCCCGGCAUUUUGGUAGGCUGAAGUGGGUGGAUCACGAGGUCACGAGUUCAAGACCAGCCUGGCCAACAUGGUGAAACCCCAUCUCUACUAAAAACACAACAAUUAGCCGGGCACGCUGGCAGGCGCCUGUAAUCCCAGCUACUUGGGAGGCUGAGGCAGGAGAAUUGCUUGAACCCCGGGCAGCAGAGGUUGCAGUGAGCCAAGAUCGCACCACUGCACUCCAGCCUGGGCAAUAGAGACUCCGUCUCAAAAACAACAACAACAACAAAAAGUUUAAUGUGUAAUACCCAGGGCCAGGGUUAGGAUGAGGACAGUGAGGUGAGUCAAGCAAGUGCAGGAUCGGAUUCAGUCUUUAUUUAAAAUAGAUAUUCUGUUCAUUAUGGAUUGUUCUGCAUUAAUAUUGAUCUUUUAAAAUGAUGCAUUAAAAUGCAUUUAUUAUGAUUACUGAACCUCUCUGUACUCCUUUAAAUUUUGCAUCUAAGAUGAGAGCACUUUGGGACGCCGAGGCAGGUGGAUCGCCUGAGGUCCGGAGUUCGAGACCAGCCUGGCCAACAUGGCGAAACACUGUCUCUACUAAAAAUACAACCAGGGAGGAAGAGAUUGCAGUGAGCCGAGAUAGUGCCACUGCACUCCACCCUGGGCGACAGAGCAAAACUCCGCCUCAAAAAAAUAAAAAUAGAAUAAUAAAUUUUACUGCUUCAAGGGCAUUCUCAAGUAGUUUGGUGCCCCUGACUUGCUUUGUGCUAAGGUACCGCCAGUAGUUUUACCCAGCCUUGCUUUUGAACCAUCAGUGUAUCAGUGAAAACAAUAAAUAGCAUCUUACUAUUAUUUUGAAAAUAGUUAUGACCUUGAGGCUACCCUGAAAGGGUAAGAGGAGAUCCCCAUGGGUCAUCUGUCCACACUUUGAGAACUGCUUUCCUACAUUAUACCACUAGUUCAAGAUGGGAGUGGAAACUCUAACUAAAUCAGGUUCGUCCCAAGAGUCCAUUCUGUUACCUCCUUUAGUUUGAGAUACACCACCAACACAGCUCUGGAAAAGGGAAGGAAAUCAACGGCACAAGGUGUCACUUGUUUCAACAUCUUGAACACUUUUAUGUUAGACCAGUAAUUCUCAAUGUAGUGGUUACAUUAAUCAGUCUCAGCCCCAGGACUGCUCAUUUGAAAAUGUAAAGAUGACAACCCCCCUCUGCUCCAUUCAAAUAAAUUUGGGGGAUGAGGCCCCCCAAAUUGUACGUUUAACCACCUUCAAGUUACUUUUUAUGCACCCCGAAGUUGAGAACGAUUGUGCUAACAGUUCGAAUUCAGAGUUCAAGCUCUCAGACCCUGAGCAAUAGUGUCUCAAAAUUAAUCGUUUGCCAACGAGCAGCCCUCCCUGCCCCCUCCGUUUCCCUUUCCUCUAGUUGGGUAAAUGCCUACAGAAGUAAAACCCGGCCGGGCGCGGUGGCUGACGCCUGUAAUCCCAGCACUUUGGGAGGCCAAGGCGGGCGGAUCACCUGAGGUCAGGCGUUCAAGACCAGCCUGGCCAACAUGGUGAAACCUCGUCCCUACUAAAAAUACAAAAAUUAGCCGGGCGUGGUAGCACAUGCCUGUAAUCCCAGCUACUAGGAAGGCUGAGGCAGGAGAAUCACUGGAACCCGGCAGGCGGAGGUUGCAGUGAGCAGAGAUCGUGCCACUGCACACCAGCCUGGGCGACAAGAGUGAAACUUCGUCUCAAAAAAAAAAAAAAAAGUAAAACCCCAUUUCUGUGGAGUUUUGAGCGGCGGUAAGAGGUGUCUACGGGCUUGGAAGGACGGGCUACACCGCUUGCAUCAAGACGGCGGCUGCUGUGAGAUAGUCCAACUGCAUCUUAGUUUCCAUUUCGAAAAUGAGACUGGCCACUAAAUGACUCUAAGGACUCAUCAGCACUACCUUUUUCUGAACUAAGAAUGUCUAAGACAAGUGCUACUAGCAGUUUGAGAGAAUCCCACAUCUGGAGAGGAAGGAAAUAAGAACAACACGCAGAAAGACGGAAAACAAAUAGAUCAAUGACAGUACUCCUUUGCAAAAGGUGCCAAGAAUCUAAAUAAAAUAGUCCCCGGGAUAAAC